rfam:Schistosoma margrebowiei strain Zambia genome assembly, scaffold: SMRZ_scaffold0002572
AUCCAGCUGAUGAGUCCCAAUUAAGACGAAACGCGCAUCCUGGAU